CGGGUGUAGUCCAAUGGUAGGGCCUCAGCCUUCCAAGCUGAAGACGCGGGUUCGAUUCCCGUCACCC
rnacentral:tRNA from 1 species